UUUCCGUAGGUGAACUGCGGAAGGAUCAUUAAUAAAUUUUUUAGGUUGAAAUUUGAAACCUAAAAAUAUAAUAUCCUACCCUUUGUGAUUUGUUGUUUGAAAUAAUUUUUUAAAAAAAUAUUUAUAGUUUGUCUAUCCUGAGUUGUAAGAGAAGUAAUUCUUGAAGACUUAGGGAUAGGCUUAUCUAUAAAUAAUGAUUUUAAAGACCUUUUUUAAAUUAAACUUUUGUAUUCAUUUUCUAAAAUUAUUUUUAUAAUUUAAAAACAACUUUGACAAUGGAUCUCUGGUUCUCGCAACGAUGAAGAACGCAGCAAAAUGCGAUAAGUAAUGUGAAUUGCAGAUACGUGAAUCAUCAAAUCUUCGAACGCAUAUUGCACUUUUUAGUUUACUAAAAAGUAUGUCUGUUGAGUAUCAGUAAAUAUCUCAUAAAAAUUUUAUUUUUUUUAUGGUUUGAGUGUUUACAACGAUACAGUUGUUUCACUUUAAAUGACUUUAAAUUGCCUAUUAUUUAGUCAAUUUUUAAAAUUGCAUAAAAUCUUCCGUAAAAGAAUAACCUAUCAAUUUUAAAUUAACUGAUAUUAAAAGCCUUGAUAAAGGAAUUUAAUUAAUAACUGAUCUCAAUCAGAUAAGAGUACCGCUGAACUUAAGCAUAUCAAUAGCGGAGGAAAAGAACUAACAAGGAUCCCUAGUAACGGCGAGUGAAGCGGAAGAGCUCAAUUUGAAUCUUCAAGGUUGACCUUGACGAAUUGUAGUUUAAGAAGUGUUUUCGGUUAGAGAGUGGUAAAAGUCUUUGAAUAGGACAUCAUAGAGGGUGAGAAUCCCGUAUUUGACCAUUCUCUCUAGCUUUGUGAUACACUUUCAAAGAGUCGGAUUGUUUGGAAUGCAAUCCAAAAUGGGUGGUAAUUUCAUCUAAAGCUAAUAUUGCGAGAGACCGAUAGCGAACAAGUACCGUGAGGAAAGAUGAAAGAACUUUGAAAGAGAGUUAAACAGUACGUGAAAUUGUCAGAAGGGAAGCGUUUGACACCAGUGUUGUUUUCCGAAAUCAAUUAAAAAUAAUUCAUGCCAGGUUGUAUUGACCUUAUCAGCUUGCAAUUUGGUUUUGGGUUCUUUUGAUGCACUUUUCGGUUAACAAGUAACAUCAAUUUCCUUUGCUGUAAAGGCAGGAGGAAGGUGGCUUCAAUUUCGGUUGAGUGUUAUAGCCUUCUGUCUCUGCAGUCGGGGAGAUUGAGGUCUGCAGCGUAGAUCCUUCGGGUUAGAUACAUCGUGCUAAGUUAUAGCCUUUUAUAGACAACUUGUUGACUAUGAUCGGUCAUGUAAUUACUCGCGAGCGCUAUUUACCUACGCUUAGAUGUU
rnacentral:misc_RNA from 1 species